UUGGUCUGCAUGAUCCACCAGGUGUCCAGAGAACAUGGUACUGGUCUCUGCCUGGAGAGGAGUUCAAUGAGAGUUACCAACCGUGGAGCACAAAUGAGCCAAAUGAUGCAGACGGGUUGCAGAACUGUGGAAUCAUAUGGAAGACCCUGAAGUGGGGGAGCUUAGACUGUCCCCGACCUGAAUUCUUUCUCUGCUAUAAUGACAGGAAUUCAUCAAAGAAAUUCCACUUGAUUCAAGAAAAGAAAAACUGGACAGAAGCUCAGAGUUACUGCAGGAAAGAACACACAGACCUAAUCAGUGGACUGACACAGCUCCAGGAUGAGGAGGUAAAGACAGAAUGCAGUUCUGUUGCAGAUGGUACAUACAUUUACACCGGUCUGUUCAGAGACACCUGGAGGUGGUCAGAUGGAAGCAGUUUCUCCUUUAGACACUGGAAUCUACAGUUUGACAAUCAGAUAAUCAACAGUGGUCAAUGUGCCAUGACUGUGUUUGAUGAUGAAGGCAGAUGGAGGAAUGAGAACUGUACUGACAGAAAACCCUUCAUCUGUUAUGAUGAAAAACUGAUCCUGAUCAAAGAAAGUAAAACCUGGGAGGAAGCCUUGUACUACUGCAGAGAUCACCACCAUGACCUGGUCACCAUCACCAACCUGGAUGAGCAGAGAUUGGUCCAGGAGAAAGCCAAGAACGCCUCCACUGAUUACGUCUGGAUGGGACUGCACUACACCUGUACUCUGGAUUUCUGGUUCUGGGUCAGUGAUGAAGUGGUCAGCUAUCAGAACUGGGCUGCAGAUGGACUGAUGGAUGACUGUGACAUCUCUGGAGCCAUGAAGACAGGAGGACAACAUAAGUGGUUUAAAAAAAAUGACAGAGAGGAGUUCAAUUUCAUCUGUUCUAAACAUUAAAUUCUAUUCUUUUCUGCUUUUUCGUUAUUAGGUGUGUCGUUCUUAUUACAUGAUGAUUUGAAUAGCUUAUUUUACUAAGUUUUCUGAGCUACAGGGAGAAUAAGAGGAUUCUUUAUUUCCAGCUUACUUAAAC